rnacentral:tRNA from 1 species
GCUGGAUUAGCUUAGUGGUUAGAGCCUACGGCUUGUGAUCGCGAGGUCCCGGGUUCGAAUCCCGCCAUAGGCA